AUUGAACGCUGGCGGCAUGCUUUACACAUGCAAGUCGAACGGCAGCGCGGGCUUCGGCCUGGCGGCGAGUGGCGAACGGGUGAGUAAUACAUCGGAACGUGCCCAGUAGUGGGGGAUAGCUCGGCGAAAGCCGGAUUAAUACCGCAUACGACCUGAGGGUGAAAGCGGGGGAUCUUCGGACCUCGCGCUAUUGGAGCGGCCGAUGGCAGAUUAGCUAGUUGGUGGGGUAAAGGCCUACCAAGGCGACGAUCUGUAGCUGGUCUGAGAGGACGACCAGCCACACUGGGACUGAGACACGGCCCAGACUCCUACGGGAGGCAGCAGUGGGGAAUUUUGGACAAUGGGCGAAAGCCUGAUCCAGCAAUGCCGCGUGUGUGAUGUAGGCCUUCGGGUUGUAAAGCACUUUUGGCGGGAACGAAAAGGACUGUGCCAAUACCACGGUUCAAUGACGGUACCCGCAGAAUAAGCACCGGCUAACUACGUG
rnacentral:rRNA from 1 species